UAAAAAAUAAUUAAAAAAAAUUAGAUUAUUAAUAGUUAUAUUCUUAAAAUUUAAAAAAUUUGGCGGUAUUUUAAUCUAUUUAGAGGAAUCUGUGUUAUAAAUGAUAAUACACAAUGGAUCUAACUUAAUUUUGUAAAAUUUGUAUAUCGUUAUCAUAAGAAUAUUUUUAAAAAAUAAUAAGUUUCUAAAAAAAUAAAUAUUUAAAAUGUUAAAUCAAGGUGCAGUUUAUAAUUAAGUAAAUAUGGAUUACAAUAAAAUUAUUUAUAUGAAUAUUAUAAUGAAAUUUAUAAUUGAAGGUGGAUUUAUUAGUAAAUUUAUAUAGAUUAAUAAAUUGAAAUUAGUUCUAAAAUAUGU
rnacentral:rRNA from 1 species